UGAGCAAUCUGCCCUUCUCUUUGGAAUAAGCGUUGGAAACGACGUCUAAUGCCGAAUACGACCUCCUUUCGCAUGAUUGGAGGUGGAAAGCUCCGGCGGAGAAGGAUGAGCUCGCUGCCUAUCAGCUAGUUGGUGUGGGUAAUGGCCCACCAAGGCGACGACGGGUAGCCGGCCUGAGAGGGUGACCGGCCACACUGGGACUGAGACACGGCCCAGACUCCUACGGGAGCAG
rnacentral:rRNA from 1 species